rnacentral:rRNA from 1 species
UACGUAGGGCGCAAGCGUUGUCCGGAAUUAUUGGGCGUAAAGAGCUCGUAGGCGGCUUGUCACGUCGGGUGUGAAAGCCCGGGGCUUAACCCCGGGUCUGCAUUCGAUACGGGCUGGCUAGAGUGUGGUAGGGGGAGAUCGGAAUUCCUGGUGUAGCGGUGAAAUGCGCAGAUAUCAGGAGGAACACCGGUGGCGAAGGCGGAUCUCUGGGCCAUUACUGACGCUGAGGGAAGCGAAAGGCGU